CCUGGCGUAGAUGAGGGUCGUCCCAACUUCGCUUUCCUGUUUGAGCCCUAGAAUUGUAUGUGGGGAAAAGAAAAUUGAGGGAUCGGCACAUCAAUCUCAUAUUCCUACUCCUAUAUUAAUUAAAGAUAUGUUUUCAGUUACAAUAUGAUACAUUUUCUAUUGUCAAAUAAAUC